UGGUGGANCAUGUGGUUUAAUUCGAUGCAACGCGAAGAACCUUACCUACUCUUGACAUCCACAGAAUUCGGCAGAGAUNCCUUAGUGCCUUCGGGAACUGUGAGACAGGUGCUGCAUGGCUGUCGUCAGCUCGUGUUGUGAAAUGUUGGGUUAAGUCCCGCAACGAGCGCAACCCUUAUCCUUUGUUGCCAGCGCGUNANGGNGGGAACUCAAAGGAGACUGCCGGUGAUAAACCGGAGGAAGGUGGGGAUGACGUCAAGUCAUCAUGGCCCUUACGAGUAGGGCUACACACGUGCUACAAUGGCGUAUACAAAGAGAAGCGAACUCGCGAGAGCCAGCGGACCUCAUAAAGUACGUCGUAGUCCGGAUCGGAGUCUGCAACUCGACUCCGNGAAGUCGGAAUCGC
rnacentral:rRNA from 1 species